UCCUGCCAGAGGCUACCGCUAUUGGAGUUCGAUUAAGCCAUGCGAGUCGAGAGUCUUAGGGACUCGGCGUACCGCUCAGUAACACGUGGGUAACCUGCCCUAUGCUGGGGAAUAACCUCGGGAAACUGAGAAUAAUACCCUAUAGUCCACAAUGCCUGGAACGGUUUGUGGAUUAAAGCCCCGGCGGCAUAGGAUGGGCCUGCGGCGUAUCAGGUUGCAGGGGGUGUAACGUACCCUCUAGCCAUCAACGCGUACGGGUGUUGGGAGACAUAGCCCGGAGAUGGAUUCUGAGACACGAAUCCAGUCCCUACGGGGUGCAGCAGGCGCGAAAACUCGGCAAUGCGAGAAAUCGUGACCAGGGAACUCCAAGUGGCUGGGGUAAGACCCAGUCUUUUCUUGACUCUUCAAAGGUCUUGGAAUAAGAGGUGGGUAAGGACGGUGCCAGCCGCCGCGGUAAUACCGGCGCCUCAAGUGGUAGUCGAUUUUAUUGGGCCUAAAACGUCCGUAGCCUGUUUGGUACAUUCGUGGGUAAAUCAACCAGCUUAACUGGUUGAAUUCUGCGAGCACGGCCAGACUUGGGACCGGGAGAG
rnacentral:rRNA from 1 species